rnacentral:rRNA from 1 species
ACGCUGGCGGCAGGCCUCAUACAUGCAAGUUGAACGAGAAAGUAUCUUCGGAUGCGAGUACAGUGGCGGACGGGUGAGUAAUACAUAGGAAUCUACCCAAUGGAGGGGGAUAGCUCGAGGAAACUCGAAUUAAUACCGCAUAAUCUCCACGGAGUAAAGAGGGCUUCGGCUCUCGCCAUCGGAUGAGCCUAUGCAAGAUUAGCUUGUUGGUAAGGUAAUGGCUUACCAAGGCUACGAUCUUUAGCUGGUUUGAGAGGACGACCAGCCACAUCGGGACUGAGACACGGCCCGGACUUCUACGGAAGGCAGCAGUAGGGAAUAUUGGACAAUGAGCGAAAGCUUGAUCCAGCCAUGCCGCGUGUGCGAUGAAGACCUUAGGGUUGUAAAGCACUUUAGGUUAUGAGAAAAGAUUUGGUAUUAAUACCACCAAAUUUUGAUGUUAAUUUCAGAAUAAGCACCGGCUAAAUCCGUGCCAGCAGCCGCGGUAAUACGGAUGGUGCAAGCGUUAAUCGGAAUUACUGGGCGUAAAGCGCGCGUAGGUGGCUUAUCAAGUUAGAUGUGAAAUCCCGAGGCUUAACCUCGGAACUGCAUCUAAAACUGAUAAGCUAGAGUACUAGAGAGGAAAGUAGAAUUCUUAGUGUAGCGGUGGAAUGCGUAGAUAUUAAGAGGAAUACCAAUGGCGAAGGCAACUUUCUGGAUAGAUACUGACACUGAGGUGCGAAAGCGUGGGGAGCAAACAGGAUUAGAUACCCUGGUAGUCCACGCCGUAAACGAUGAUAACUAGCCGUUGGAAUUUUCAGUGGCGCAGCUAACGCAAUAAGUUAUCCGCCUGGGGAG